rnacentral:lncRNA from 1 species
CCGGAAUUACUUACAUUAACAAAAUAUGAUAGAAAUAGACAUUUGCUUUAGAAUGAGCUAAAUACUGAAUUUUUAUAUACACAGUAAGAUUUGGUAGCAGUUUAAAUAUUUUCAGAAAACUGAAUCCAAGACUCUUUAUUUAUGUUUACUGCAAUGCAAGGAGAGAGUCUUAAGUCAACUAUUAAUAUAUCUGUGCUAUAUUUUCCUCUAAGGAUUUGGGAACAGAAUUAUGCUGUUCUCAUGAAAACAAUAUUUGUCCAGCCCUUACAGAGGGUUGCAAUGCACUCUAUUACUUUUAAAACAAAAAUAUCACUCAGUUUAGAUUUAAAAUGUAAUGCUUUUCUCUUUUCUUUUCUUUUCCCCCCCUUUUUUUUUUCUUUUUUUUUUUCCUUUAUCUUUCAGCCCAAGAACUUGCCAGUCAAGAUGAAAAACUUCUUCUAAUGGAAUCCAGCUUGAAAGCAACUCAAGAGCAGCUAAGUGAGCAAACAGCAGAAACAGUUCACCAAGAACAGAACAGUAGAAAAUCACAGACAGAGCUGAAAGAAGAUCCUGAGAGAACGUAUUAUAGCUUCUGAUGAAGAAAUUAGUGAUUACAAAAGCUGUCUCUAAGCAAGAUGCUGCCAAAUAAAAGGAAAUUUAGUGUUUGAACUUUUAGUCACAACAGUAAGGCACAUAUGAGAUUGCAUACUAUACUUGAGAAAAGUUUAAACAGAAAAAUGUACCUCUAUUCUCAGAAAAAAAAAAAAUAGUAUCUAUAAGUUUAUAAGUUUAAAUGUUAGCUCUGAAGAUUUUAAUUAAAAAAUACUAAUCUUCAACAAAUAACUUUUAUAAAUUAUAAUGACUUUAAAUGUAUUUUUAUAUUGAGACACAAAAUGAUACAUUAUUCAGAUUUUUCAAGAUCUACAGUAUGGUAGAAAUGAUUCACUACUGCUUCUUUUUGCCUUAUUGUAUGCAAACUGUUACAUAUGUUAUAUUAAAAAAUUGUUAAAUGUAGAGACAGAAACUCAAGCUGUUUUAUAAUAUCAUAGAGUGCAGGUGAAUGCUUUAUAAAGAGAGCAUGACUGAAAUAAAGUUUAUUCAUUCAGUGGUAGGUUGAACAUUUAAAGAGAAAUGUUUUAUCUCAGAUUUGUACCAAGCAUCAAGGACUGUCUCUACAAAUCUCCUCUGAGAGAAGCUUUGCUAGGUUUAGAUGCAAUAAACAUAAUGUUUCAAAAUCACAAUAUGACAAUGUUAUAAUUUGUAUGCUCAGUGUAAAUAGCUUCUAGACUGGAACUUCACUCUGUAUUCAAAAGUUUAAAGCCAAUUUUUCUGCUGAAGACUGGGAAAAUCUCUAUGGGAAGAAAAAAACGCACAAGAACAAAAACAUUGUCUACAGUAAUAUGUCUUCAUUUCUUUAAAUAAAAUAGCUUGGUGGUUUUCAACUUCUAGUUAUACCUCUAAAGACCUUACUACUACUUCUCUAGGGACAGUAGUGUCACUGAUUUGCUUUCCUAACCUAUCUUGACUCCUUUGCUACAGUAAGCUUUCUUAACCAUUUCAAGUGAUUCUUCAGUUGCCAAAAUGCCAUGUUAUGCAAAUUCCUGUAGAUAUUUACUUCAAAAUUAAAAGGUUAAAAUCUUCUAGGAGUACUGGCUGUAAGUUUGUGUGAUACAGUGAUAGAAAUGGUAGGGGAUGUGGGAGGAUUGAAACCUCCAGCUGUAUCUGAUCAAAUGUGUGAUGAAAUACAACACUUGAUAGAGCAGGAAUUUUGCAAAAGUGAAAUGAGUUUCUCUGUUCUUCAAAUAGAAAGACAAAUGAUAAACACUACAAGACUUUGAGACACAUUUCUUUCUUUUUUUUUUUUUUUAUGAUUUCAUAGUAUACAUUUUGUGAAUAAAUAAAAACUUGGAUGAAUCUGUUAACAUACAAAAAUUCACUAAGCCACCUUUUUUUCUGUUUAUAUUUGAUUUUCUUUUUCUGCUCUAUUUUUCUAUUUCUGUUUUCACCAAACUAAUAUGUUUGUUGGCUUUGGAAGUUUGUUAAUUUAGUACAUGAGCAUAAUGUAUUUUGAGUUAGGGGAGUCUUCAGGUUACAGCUCUAUAGAUUGUCAAGAUUAUUUUUAUAGGCUCUUAGGUUAAUUUUUAUGUUUAAGUUUAUGACACUUGUUUUUUAAAAGUACUGUGAUAUUACUGCACGAUUAUAGAGAAGUAUUUGUUGAAUUAGGAAAAUUAACGCUGUAAAUUUAAAAUUUUAAUAAAGUUGAAAUUAUAAAGAUAAAAACUAAGAAACAAAAUUGAACAUUUUAGAUAUUAAAUUCCCCCUUAAAGAUAACAUUUUACUGAAUACCUGAAAACAAACAUGUUGUGCCAGACAGUAUCUGCUGUGCUCUGUUCCUUGAGAGGCAGAAAGAACAAUGGAUCUCUUUCCCCAUGGGUGUUUGGGGACAGGGAAUGUCGUAAAGGUUAUGUUCAUUUACUAUGAAGGGCACAGCACGUGUUGUAAAGUAACAUCCCUUUGGUGCUGACUUAUUCGAAGUCACAUAGUCCUGGACUUUACCUACCACCCUACUUAGUGAUUCUGGCAAAUGCAGAUGGUAUCAAGGUGAGAGCUUAGGACCUUACAAAGAAAAAUGCAGUGAAGCAUAAAUUGGUGGAUUUAAACUACCGAGAGAGUUAAGAUUCUGCUAUAGCUGUUGUGACGCCUAUAAGGAGAAAAGUCCAUUUUUGUAUGCUUUUAUUUCCUUGUAAUGUAAAUGUACAUUAAAGGAUAUUUCUCCUGGAAGUGGUGUAAAAGGAAAGUACUGAAGAGCAUUUAAAAAACAAUAAAACUAGCAUUAUUUGUGCUAGUUUACAAAAAUAUUUUUUUAUAAAAUAGAAUAAAAAUAUUUUACUAACUGUACUGGAUUCUCAAAAUGCAUGUAUUCCAGGUAUAACCAAAAUUUGUAAGUAGUCACAAGCUAUGUUUGCUAUAUACUUAUUCUGGAUGAAAUAAACCUAAAGUUACACACACUCCCCCCCAGCCUCCAAUAUAAGCCUGUUACACUUGAAAGAUUUGUUCGGAAUGUCCAGUGGGAACCUGGAAAUCGUAAUAAUUUGUAGUAUCGAUUGUGUGAAGCUAUGCAGCUGGGGCCUCUAGUGAAUAGACAGGAAUAGACAUUUUAUUGAUUAACUUUUACAGUCAUAUUUUCAAGACUCUGCUGCAACAUAAUUUUCACUUCCCAGCUUUGUGCUGCUGCAUCAUGAAACUUGAAUUCUUCUCUCUUAACAUUUACCCACCUGAGGGAAACAGUAUGGAGUUGUCUCUUUUAAGCUGCGCUCUGCAGAAAUGCAUAACACUUGACACAGUGAAUUCUUCAAAAUUUACCCUCCGCUGUUGCAAUAAAAUGAAAAAUAUUAAGAAGUGAUAUUAGUAUCACCCAAGUUGAACUGCCCACUCCAUAUGUUAGACGCCAUUGUUUCAUACUUCCUAGUAAUUUUAUCCACCUUUUUUUUUAUUUUUAUUUUCUAAGGGGCUAAGAUUGUGGCAAAAAAAAUUGCCACCCUCCUCACACCACAGAUUCCAGCAGUGCUUAAUGGAGUUUGUCUCAUAAUUAAAUAGGUGAUUUUAUUAGUUACUGGAGAAGAAUAAGUGCUUCCCUGAAAAUGUGAACUAUGAAUUAAAAAAUACUCAUUUUUAAGAGUGACAGCCUGUGUCAAAUAAAAUUCCUUGUAAAAGUACAGAAAGGGCAGUUUUUCAUUAUAAUUAUCAAUCUAUCAUUUAACAAUGUAAAAAUAUGUACCAAAAUAGUAAACAGACUAGUCUUAGAAAGCAUUAUUUCACAUUUCUGAAGUUAUUCGUUUUCAGAAAAGAAAAAAAAAAGGGGGGGGGGGGGCAUUUUGCCAUUUUGUAAAGAACUGUUGCAUAUUUUCUGAUUUUUUCCCAGUAUGAUUUGCAUUCUAAAUCAGAUGCCCAAGCCACUAUUCUUUCAUGCUGAUAAAAUUGCUGGUAAAAAUCUCAAUCUAUCAUUUUUUUUUUCAUCUAAUGACUGUUUCUUUGUUGUUGUUGUUGUUGUUAUUUUACAUGGUAACUUUUACUUGAAUGCUGUUUGCAAUGUAAGUUUGAUAACAGCUUUCACAAAAUAGGACAAAUAUUCACAUACAUUGCCACUGGUGCUAAUAUGAUUUAGACUUCUGUCAUUCUAUUAUUUUUCCUAGAGAUAUUUUAUUACUAGUGUCUUCUAAGUAUCUAAAUGUUUAAGAUAUUUGUGGUCAUGUUUCCUUUUGUCCUCCCGCUCAUCAGAUACAUCUCAGUGUGCACUGUAUGGAGACACCAAAGCAGAAAUACUCGCAUAGAUGACAGAAUGUUCAUCUUGUUUGCAGUUGUCUAAACUCUUACAGAAAAAAUCCUGAUUUCUCUUAAAAAAGCAGAAAACUGUGUGGAGAACUUUAAGGUAAGAAUAAAAGGAUCAAAGAAAGUUGGAGAACAGGUGCUACUCAAGGCCUCAGUAUCCACUGGACCUGAAAUAACCUUGAAACAGAAUCAUUCUCGAUCAGAUGAAUAACGAGAAAAUUUGUUAAGAGUGCAUAGAAUUAUAUUUUUCUAAUGGACAAACUUCAUUGUACAGCAAUAUGAGAAAAGAAAUAUCACAUCCUCAUGACUUACUAGACCUCAGUCUUUCAAACAUAUACAGAUGUCAGCAGUUUCAUGAAGCCAAUUACUCUAUAACCAUGUGAAAAACUGUUCAUGAGUUUGCAAGAUUUAAGAUGAAGAUUGUUUUAAUAUUAAGGAUUACUCAGUAUUUUAUUUAGUAGUUGCAAUGCUUUAUUAUAGAAGUUAUGUUGUAAAUCAUGAUGAUUGUAGAAAAUAAAUGAAACAACUGAUCAUUUUACUUCAGAUUCAUUUAACACAAAUCCAAAUGAAUGUGAUUUGUGCAUGUGAGAAUGCAUGUGCAUGCUCUUGUGGUUUAGUUAAAGAAGGAAGAAGUCAUGUUCCCUCUUCUGAAUGUUUGUAGAGAUGUUUAAGUGAGAACAAAGUAGUAAGUUAGUAAGAUUUUUAUGUUCUCAGUAGAUAACUACCAUAGUAGUCAGACCACUGUGAACAGCAUGUUAGCUUCAUUGCUCAAUUUCAUGUUUAUUUUUCUAUUUUUUUUUCUAUUUGGAAAUAUGCAUGAUGAGGCUUCUUGUAGUUAUAAAACAAACAAACAAACAAAAAAACCUUUUUAUCGUGAAUUAAAGCAAUGAAAAUUUAUAAGAAAUUAGAAAAAAAUAAUUGAAAUAAUUAAGAUAUUUAUCUAUAUUAAAUAAGUUAGAUAUCAUAUAUAGCAAAAUGUUUUUCAGGAAGUGCAAUUGCAGAAAUUCACAACUAGUUUUAUUUCUUGCAUUUGACCCGAGAAGUCUGAUUUAAUUGUAGAAAAAAUAAAGGCCAGAUAGCUCCAUUACUUUACCUGUUUCACCUUAAAAAAAAAAAAAAAAAAAAAAAAGGAAUAUCUGAACCAUUUUAAUUGACUUAUAUUGUUUAGUGGGAUUUUAAUGCAUAAGACAUAAAUCAUAAACAUAGAAGUAUAAAAGUAUAGCUAAGAAAUGAAAUGUACAUGAACUCUUUGCUUUUUUAAAAGUACUGCAGAAUUGAAGACUUGAAGUGAAAAUUUAUGUUUAUUGAAUUUCAUAGUACCUCUGACACAAACACAUAAAUAAAUUACUGAAAUAAUAGUAAUAAUAUAGCAGAUGACCAUCCUAGAGUAGAAUAUGAUCCUACACAUUUAUGUCUUCCUAGGCAGUAUAGUUACUACUGGGAAAAAUUGAAUUGAUUGCAACGGAAAUAUACCUGACAGUAAGCAUUUACAGUGGCAGGCAAAAUUAUUUAAGAAAAGAGAAUAUAAAAUUAAGAAAGACAGAUGGAGUCAUAAGAGUGAAAUACAAAUAGUCUGAAUCAGGAUUGAUUUCAACAUAAUGUGGUGGAGGAAUCCCCAUUUAUUGAUCAACUUUAAAGCCUAUGCACAGCACUUAAAAAGAUAAAGUAAGCAAGGUCAGAUAAUCAAAGCAUUUAAAUAGUAAAAACAGCAACUGCCACUGUAGACUGCUAAAAUAAAUCCAUAAUACAAAUUGCUUUAGCAAAAAGUGGAUGAGUAGCUGAUCUUCCUAUUGAACUUUAUACUGUUCAGUGACCACACUGGGAAAAGGAUUGGGAGAAAUGCCUUGAAGAUCAAUAUUGAGUGAGAUGUAGCAGGGAUUCAUUCUGAACAUGAAAGAAUUACAAGUAUGAGAGUAGAGAUCUUGAAGAAAUGUCAUCAAGAAGGGACUAUUCUUUUAAAAAUAUCACACAUAUUACAAAAAAGUGACAUUAGUUGAUAUUCUAUCAUGAUCUCAGAACACUGAAAUCUUAUUAAAUCAACUAUUAUUACAAAACAUGAAAAUAACAAAAAGAAAGUGAAUAAUAUUACUAAAAAUACUUUGAAAAAAUCAGUAAAUUUUGUCUUAAAAAAAAGAUUUUAAAAUAUAUUAAUUUAUUAAUUAAACUGGCACGUGCAUAUGCAAUUAACACAUUUAAGUAUUAUUAUUUCCUUUUUUUUUUUUUCUAAAUAACAUUUUAGUAGAUAUUUUUAUUGCAUUAUAGAAACUGGAAGGAUCUAUUGCAAAUGCUCCAAAUUUCAAUUCAACCUAAGCCUUUACAGGCUUUUCAUUAAAAUAAAUAAAUAGAUAGAGAGAUAGAUAUGUGCUAUCACUUUCAGUUCUACAUAACUUUCAUCCAGCACUGUUUGAGACGUAUUUAUGAGGAAAAAAUCCUAGAUGUAGCAGUACUACAGUAGCUCAUUGUCUUAUAUCUAUUGAAUCAAUUGACACUUGUAUUAUAUUAUCUCAUGAGAAGUGCUGAAUUUUCAUGUACUGUUGCCCCUUAUAAAUAUAGAAUACUAGGUUUUUGUUUGUUUGUUUGUUUCAUUUCUGGUCAAUCAUCUUACUAAUAAAAAAGUAUUCUUGCCAGAAAGUUAUUACUAUCAGUGUUUGAAAAUACAGGGCUGCUCUGAAAGUAAUGCUUUUGUUUUUUUUAUGUUGGCCAACAACAUCAGACACAAAUGUGGGAGGUAUGACAGUAGAUGUUGAACUUUCCCACCAAUAUUCUGUUACGUUUUGUUGCCCUGUGACAGAUGGCAACAGAGCGGGCAGUCUGUCAACAUGACACGUGACCUGGAAGUGCAUAUGAAGUAAAUGUAUGUCAUUGAAUUCCUCCAUGUGGAAAAAAUGGCACCCACUGACAUUCACUGGCACUUGCUGAAUGUUUCUCGAGACCCAACAGUGAAUGUGAGCACAGUCAGGUGGUGGGUGGUGUUUUUCAGCAAUGGUGACAGUGUGUCACUUCCUCUGGUGCAGAUUUUUAUGAGCACAGCAUGCAGGCUAUAGUUCAUUGCAGACAAAAAUGCAUAGUUCAUCACGGUAACUAUCUUGUAAAAUAAUGUUUUGUAGCUGAGAAUUUGCUGUAUCAAGUAGUGAUCAAAUAUCAAGUAGUGUUGUUGUACUCUAUGUAUUUCUUGUAGUUUCCAUGGAAAUAGAUACAAAGAAUUAUUUUUUUAGUGACCUAGGUAUUUGUAUUUGAAACAAUAAUACACACACACACACAAUUUCGAGUAUUUCAGAAAUAUAUAUAUAAAGUAGAUAUAGUAUUCAUAUUUUCUAUGAACACCCAGUUCAGCAAAAUAUAGUAGAAAACUGAGUCCCAAAAGCAUAAAGUUUCUUCACUAUUGUAAACCUAUAGUAUACCUUCUUGUAAUGAAUAAUUAUUUACAACUAGUAUUGGUUCCAUAUUUACAGUAGGAAUUGCUGAUUACAGCAAUUUCAAUAGCAAAUUUGUGAAACAAUAUUCACAGUUGUUAGAGAAAGGUCAGCUUCUUUGCAUUCAUUAGGAACUUGGAGGACCAUUCACCGUAUUUUUCCUUUGGGGUGCUUAUAGUUAUUGAUUUGUACAUAUCUAUAGGAAAAAUUAAUUACAAUUAUUUUUCAUUUACCACUGGAGGCUGUGUAAUAAUAAUUGUAAUAACAAAGUUCAGCACAAAAAGAGGAAAAAAAAAAAGAAAAAAGAAAAAAAAGAAGAAACAGCAAAUUAAAUAGCAAUAAUUUUAAAAAAUUAAUAUUGUUAGAUUUAACUUGUUUAAAAUAAUAUCUUCUGAAUUGCCUGAGGAAAUCUCUUAUAUAACUUCCAUUAAUAGUCACAAUGUUUUUAUUUUAAUGGAAGUGCGUAGGGCACUUACAGUGAUGUGAUAUAAGGUAUUCACAACUUUUCUCCCUAUGAGUGAUCUGUAAAGAUGCUUAUAAACUCAGAAAACAUUUAAUCACAUGCUUAAUUUUCCUUACAUAGGGAACUUAAAUCAUGUAACCAGUAUAGUUAUUAACUUCAAAAUGUGAUUUAAGUGAAAGAAUAAUCCUGGCAUAAUAAAUUAAAUUAUUUGCAUGCUUACAUUUUUACUCUAGUUCUUAAGGGUCUUUCAAGAACAAGAGCUAUAUAAAACCGAAUGGAAACAUUAUAGUCAUUGUCUCCUAACUCCUUAGGUCUGAAAAAUGUGAGUAAUGCCUCCAGAAAAGCUUAAAUGGGAAUCACGCCAAGAAUGUGGGACCAGGAAAGUCAAAUUGUCAGACUGAGACAAAACUUUGUGGAAAUGGAAGAAGAAGUAAAGAACUUAAGACUUACACACAGCAAUGAUGCUCAGAUGGUAAGCGCUGAUUUAUUUGAAAUCCUGUUUGUAUUAUAUUGAGAAAUACUGUACAUGAUUAGUGCAUAUUUCUGUGAACUUUUAACACUUCAGAUGGAUUAGAAUGUCUUAUUUUGAUCAUAUCCAUAUUGUUCAUUGUGAUAAGAUUAGGUCCUGAGUCAUUAAAAAUUGUUUGGCUUAUUUCCAUUACAUCCAAGCAUGUUUUAAGUAGAAAAAUAUAGAAUACGGUUUUCCAUAUUGUGCACACAUAACACAUGUUUGAGAUUAAUCAAACCAUAGUCACCUCUAAUUAACAGCAGGGAACAAUUUCAACAUGGGACAGAGCCAGAUGACAAAGAAGCAAAGCACAUAUUUAAAAGAUGCAGCAUACUAAGAAAAAAAAAUGGAAGGGAGGAUUAUGACUUAAGAAUACUGAAAAGUUUUUAAACCUGUGGUUCUGUGGGUAUGAUUAAUACAAACUAUCAAGUAGGCAAAAGUGUUAUUUUGCUUUGUUUUUUAGCAUAGGCAAAAUUUUCCAGAACCAAACUGUUGCAAAGAUAAGUUGUAAAGGUAAAAAGGUAUUCUGUCUAAGUUAAUAUUCUUGCCCUUUGCCUUUCAAUAAUUACUAAACUAACAAAGGAGAGGACAGACAUUCUGGGAUGCACUUCUUUGGUCAUUUUUGACCACCUUGUGCCAACCAAGCUAAUUUAAGACACAAAAACAUGAGUCUGCCUGGAAAAAAAAAAAAAUCGUAAUUAUUUUUUUUUAGUAUCUAAACCAGAAAAAAAAGAAUCUUAUCAAGGUACCACCUUUCUUUGAGAUGUCAGGAAUCAAAAUUUUUUAACAGAAUGCAUAUCAGAAUUCAAGGUCUCCCCCUUUUCUCCUUUCUCUCUGUAUACACACACACACAUACUCACAUAGAUUUUUUUACAUAUCAUUCUUGGAAAAGAACAUAUUAUUUUCAUUUAAACUUUCCAAGAUAAUUUGGCCUUGAGCAAAAACUCAGCAGGACAAAUUUCAAUAUAAACAAAUGAAGUUUGGCAAAGCUCUAAGCAACUGAAAACUGUGUCUUAUAAUGGAAAAAUUAUGAUAGGCAGCACAACGAUAUACCAAGAUAUUACCAUCCUGCCAACAGAGGAAAAUAAAUCAACCGAAAUUCCUGACAACAUCAUCUUCCUGAAACUGAUGAGAGUAUGCAAAGGCUUUUUGGCUAAUAGAUGUCAAAUGAAACCUUGAAGACAACAAAUAAAAUCCAUAAUGGAAGAAACUUAAACUUAAAACAUAAUGUUUCCUUGAUCAUAAUUUUCAGUGCUGUAUUGUAUGCCAGUCUGUUAAGGAUAACAGUCUGCAAUAGCAUACAAAAAUGCAGGAGAAUUUUUUAAAACAAGGAAAAUAUCCUGUUCUUGUUCUUCCAUUCUUCCAAAAUUUUAAACAGAUCUAUAGGGGAAGGCAUUGUUAUUCAUCAUUAUAGUCAAUAAAACCAUUCUUCUAUGAAAACCAAGAGCUGAUUCUUUCUUUAAUUCUUUGUUUGUUUGUUUUGCAUGAGUUGUUCUGCUUAAGAGGAGGCAAUGGUUCUGUAUGAUUUGGACUUCCCUUUUAUACGGGUAUUUUAGCUGUCAAAGUUCAUAGUAGCAAUAUGUGUUCUUUCUCGAAGUCUAGCAAUCCCUCAGAUUACACAAGGUCCCUUAAGGAAUUUAUAAGUCCUUUAAAGCCUGUAAAAAAUAACAGAAGUUAUUUUCAUAAUUUCUAUGCCUCUGUUCUUACAUCCUGUUUUGUAGAAUAAUUUUAAGUAGAAAUCUCCAUGAGCCUCGCAAUUCAGACAGUCAGUUUGAAGUAGAAAUUUUAUUGCAGCGUAUGUAUUAAGUCCAUCAUUGUCCUUAUGGCUUUCUGAGGAGACUUGAAUGUUCUGUGGAAGAUAUAUUACUAACUACUGUUUUAAUACAAUUUGUCAGAAUGACUUUGGUUUUUUUUCUUUGCAACUAGAAAGCAAAAUCAGUGAGUCUUAUGGCUAAAUAAAAAUAUGGCUAAACAAAACAUAUUACUUUAAUUUUAAUUAAUAAUUAAUUAAUAAUUAAUACUUUAUUACUUUAACCAGAGGUGUCUUCUUGAUCUGAUACACACUGGUUGUUUUUCACUCAUCCUCUUGUUCCAUUGCUUCUAAAAGUUUGUGUAUUCUUUUAUAACUAUUUGAUAGCUGUUUGAACAGGUUAUCUAUUUUCUCACAGACUGGAAAAUUUCCUAGCGAGGCUCAGCCAACCCCAAGCAUGUUUUCUGUUUCAAGUAUUCGUAGGAAGAGUCAGUGGGAAUGCUUUUAGAUGUGAUCAUCACUACUCCAUUAUGGUAGUUUUUUGUAGGUUUUUUUUUUUUUUUUUUUUUUUUUUUUUAAGUAACUAACUUGAAAAGAAAAACUUCCUGCAUUUCUGGAGAGUCUUUGGGAGGGUAAUUACCAGGAAGUUGCCAGUGAAAAAUGAAGAAUAGUUGUUUCCUUGGUACUGAGUUCUUGAUAAUUGCCCAUACAAAUUCCACAAUUAUUCUCUCAUCCCCAUGCACCAAAUGUUUUUAAUUAUACCAGAUUGAUAAGAAUCUGAAUACUCUGAGAAAUGAGAUGAACUUGUAUGAAGACACAUAGGAUGGUAGUCAAAUGAGCUGAAGUUUAAAUAUGAACAACACAAUGCAACACUGAGGCCUGCAUGACUGUAAGAAUGUUAGGUAAGACCCCUUAGUUACUUUUAGACAACUGUUUCUCUGGAAUGUUUCUUUAAUAGAUAUUAAGUCCUUGAAGAGAAAUAGAUUUCUGUAGCUUUGUUUUGCCACUUCAUUUUCAAAUACUAAAUUGAAAAACUGUGUAGAAAGGGAAAUAAUAUCAUAGUAAUUUUAUCAUAAAAGAUACUCAUCAUUUUUUUAAUUAAAAAUAUUCUCUUGUGCAGCUAAUGUUUAGGUGAAGAAAAUGGUGUAGAAUUUUUCAAUACUGAAGUGUAUGAUUUCAAGUCUUGUUUUCAUCCUGUGCAAAGUCAAAUAACUUGUGGACAAAGAAUACAUAAUUUUCCAAAUCUGUGAACUGAAAAUAGAAUGACAGCAGCACGUUUUCUUGAAAACUAAAAAAGAAGAAGAAAUAAUAAAACAAAGAUUUUAUUUUAUUUAACCAUAAGUACUUAUGGAAAACAAAAACAAACAAACAAACAAAAAUGGAUAUUGCAAAUGCAGAUGGUGCACAUUGAUACUCAUAAUUACUAAAUACACUUUCCGUAUCUCAUAACACAUUAAUAUACAAUAUAAAAAGAGCUGGAAUAGUUAUAGUCAUUUUCUUUUUACUGCUAAAAAAUUGAAUUUAUGUCAGUUAGUGUAUUGAAAGCUCUGAAGUGUCACUAAAAAGUGAAGUUUAUAAUUAUUCGGACCUACUAUCAGAAAUUCCUUAAGAUUGUUACAGCUCUUACAAUAAAUAUUUGUCUGCCCCGUAUUUGUAAAAACAUACAAUAUUGGAACAACAACAACAACAAAAAGUUAAGUAUUGUUUUGAACUGGGAAACACUAAGUUGUGAUAGAUUUGCAGUAAUACUCUUGAAAAUAUAAUUUAAAUUCACACUUAUAUUUGUGAUAAAAAAUGCUUCAUGGCAUUUUGUAACACUUCUAUAGGGCAUCACUAUUACCUCGGUUUGUAUUGAGACACUGUUGCUGUUUGAAAAGUUAAUCAUGCAGUACUGCUCCAUUCCCCUGGGAGAAAGGUGCUGGGGAAGGAAAAAAUCCAAUUGAGGUAGCAGAAAUUAAUUUAUUAAAAGGAAUGUGAGAUAAUAGAGAAUAAAUAAGAGUAAUAAAUCAAAACAAACCAAAAAUAAAACUGGAGGAGAGAGAGAGAGUCCAUCCAAAUCUUUAUCAGCAGGCCCUCCACUGUUUGCUUCCUGUAAAAGACAAGAGAGUUCUUCCCUUGUAACCCAGAAUUGGAACCAUGUGGAGGCUGCUGGAAAAUUCAGUACAUCCCAGUGCAUCUUUGCCUGGGGGAGUCAGAACUCACAUGAGAUUGCUAGAGAUAAACAGGAAACACAUCUCCGCAGUGCACUGUGCACUCUGCGUCCAACAGCCUGUUGCAUGAUAUUACGAUAUGGAAUAUUGAUAUAACCAGAACAGAGAUACAGUUGCAAUAUUUAAUAACUUAUAAUAUUGGACAAAAUAAAAAAGCUGCAAUUAAAAAAAAAAAAAAAAAAGGCCUGAAUAAUAGUUGUGAUAAUAAUUUAGUUUUUAUUAUAGCAGUUUACAGUCAGAGAUUUCAUAUUUUCAGAAGAUGUGCAAUUAUUGUUAUUUUUAAUACUAUGAUUUUACUUGUGUGUAAUAUGAUUUUACAUUUAUAUAUGUACUUUGAGGUAUAAAAUUGAUUUUUUUUUUUUUUUUUGGAUCACAGGAUAGAAAAUUGUCUUUGGUAGCAGCAAAGAUUAAAAAAAUAGUAUCACUUAAAUAAAUACAUGUGAAGAAGCCAAAUUUGUAACAAAAAGGAAACCAGUAAAUGAAUUCACAAAAGCCAGCUACUACAUAGCAAAUCUCUGUAUAAAUGGGCUGAGAGUAUGUACCAAGAAGAAGGCAAGUAUCUAUUCUUUUUCAAUGGGAAAAACAAAAAACAAAAAACAAACAAACAAAAAAGCUAUUUCAUCCUUACUUUGGGAAAAAGGCACACAAAACCAAAGCAAAAAAUGCCUCACUGACUGCAUCUGUCCAUUCUGUACUGUAAUUUGUUUCCCGCUAUGAAGAUUUAGGUUAAAUUCAUUUCUAUUAUUAAAGACAAAUAAGCUGCAAAAGAACUAAUUCUCUGUCUCCAUCUUUUACAUGUAUAUUUAUUCAUAUGAAUGCACUUUUGUUCAUUUAUUUUUACUUCUACCUUGACAAAGCUGUGCAAAAAAUAACAUAGUUUGAUUACUCAUAAUUUGCAUUUGUGUAAUUAAUAGGGAUGAAAAGGAUUAAAAUCAAUGGAGAAAUAUUUAUUUGUUUAAAUUGGAUAACUAUGGAAAAACUAUUUGGCAGGAAUGAAAGCUUUUCCAUCUAAAUUACGUCAUAUAAUUUAAACUGUUUUAGUUUUUAAGCUUAAAAAGCAUGAAAAUCACAAAGCAGAACUGGAAGAAGACACAGAAAAAUACUGCCAUGUAAAGGAAGAGCCUUCAGAACAAGGGUCUCAGCUCAAAAUUAGCUAGCUGGUCCAUUCUGGAGUGGGAAAACUGAUAAAAUGCCGCAGUACUCAGGUAAUACCCUUGAUACAAUAUGUGGAAGGGAGACAGUGUUUGAAGUAAUAUCAGUGAAUGUAUCAGAGUACUCUCAGAGAAUUUUUCCAACGGAUAAGGAAAUAUUAUUUAAAUAAUACUAACUGUAAAAUUCACUCAUGAGUGAUUGAGAAAACAUGAGAAAUAUUGUUGAAAAUAUCAAGUCAAUAUAACAGCAGCAUUUCUUCUUUUAAAAGUGUUGUGGGUGGGAUUCACCUUGUUGAACUGGAGGUAGGAAUAUUUGAAAUAGAUGUCUAAGUUCCAUUGCUGUCAUUGGAGACUUAAUCAACUCAGUGAGUGAAAUCAAGGGCUAUCAAUACCUUUCAUUACCCAAAGUGAACCUACAGAAAAGCUGGAGAGUGACUCUUUAUCAGGUAGCAUUGUCAUAGGACAAGGGAUAGUUGCCUUCAACUAAACUAGAUUAGACAUUAGAAAGAAAUUCUUCACUAUGAGGACAGUGAGAUACUGAAAUAAAUUGUCCAUAGAAACUGUGGAUGCUCCAUCUCUGGGAGCAUUCAAACGUAGGUUGAGUGAAGCCCUUGGCAACUUGAUCUCAUGGAAGGUGACUGUGCUAUGGCAGGGAAUUAGAACUAGAUGAAUUUAAGUUCUCUUCCAAACCAUUUUAUGAUUCUAUGACUAAAUAUUGAUCCAAUCAAUAUUAAGGUUUUCAGAGGAGCUGAAAAUCAAUCCCAGUGACAAUAUUAUUCAUUGUGAUAGAACACAUUCACACACCGUAAUGCAGACAUCCAAAUUUGGGUAAGAAUAAUCAGAUUAGAAAAGUUAGCCUUUUUGCAGCAAUUCAUUAUAUAAUACGGAAUUAUUUUAUUUAUUUUUGUUACUAAUAAGAGUACUAGAUGUUUCACAAGCAUAGAUACUGGUCAAUUAUCUGAGCAAUAUCCAAUAUAUAAAUACACAAAGUUAGAAGGAAAUGAUCAAUGCCAGAGAGAAAUAAAAGUUAAAAUAAUACAUGCUUUUUCUUCUGUGUCUGAGAGAAUGUGAGUAGAUGUGAAAGUUGGAAAACCAAAAGAAUUAGUAGUAUGACAACAUUCCUUUUCUACCCUAGCAUUGUCAAAAGAUAACAAGAUUAAUUCUCUGCUGUAGUAUUUCACUACAGUAGUGUGUUAAUUUGAGGGGCUUGGCUGAGCCUUAUUCAGCAUAUAAUUAGAAUUUACUGAACUUUAAUUUCUUAUCAUCUUUAGGCUGCAUUAUCAAAGUGUUUAUAUUGAAACAUUCAAAUGUUCAGUUAAAAAUAAACUUCAGUUUGUCAAGGAUACAUUGUAUACAAAUUCUGUGGAAAUAUUUGAAUAAAAUUGUUCACUUUUGCUUUGUGAGAAAUGCUUUGCACUUUACAUAUUUAUAACAUAAUGUCAUUAGAGUAUGUAUCUUAGAAAUAUAGCAAUUUCCUGGUGAAUUUAUUGAAUAAAUGCUUAUCUAAUAAGUAAUUUGAGAGUAGAGAAAGAUCUAAUGAAAAGCUAAAUACACAGUGAAAUCCUAAUCAAGCAAUUGAAAUAGUUACUCAUGAUAAAACUAAGAUUAUCAGAGUAUCAGAACACAAAUUACUCCAUUAAUCUUUUGAAUUAGUCAGUUCUUAUUUUCUGAAGCUAAGUAACUUGGGAAGGUACACUCAAGGUUUCAUCUUUCUGAAGACUGUAUUUAUUACCUUUACUUUCAUAAAGAGUUCAUUAGAAAGAAUAUUACAGUGAAAUACGUUAACUUUUUAGCCUGUUUUAAUGAGGUCAUGUGAGUCUUUAAUUAUCUGACAUAAAACUGCUUAGUUUUACGUAGUAUCUACAGAUACUAAUUAGUAUCUACAUAUAUACAUUAGUAUCUACAUCAAUUAGUAUCUACAGAUAUUAACGGAUUCAUAUGUCAUAAAGCCAGAAGAAACGCUGUUAUUGAAUCUUAUAUGUGGCACAAUGCAGGCCACAGGACUUCACUGAAUUGAGUAGUUGUAAGAGAUUAUUCUUUUAUAUGAUUGACUCAAAGUUUGCUGAGGAACAAGUCCAGGCAAGUCCUGGGCAAAGGUACAGAAAUCUUCUGUCUGGAGGACACUGAUGGACAGGUCCUGGCUAAAGGAUUGUGAAGUCCUUUAAGGAGCACAGAUGGACGAGGCCAGGGGCAACGAGAGAGGGAUAAGCUGCUGAUAAUGGCUGAGAAAUGGUCUUUUGUGUGGACUUAUCUAGAAGAAGAUGGCCAUCUCAGGAGCUACGCACAUGACUCUUGCUCAAGCACCCAGGGAUGUCACGUAGGCAGGAAAAAGAGGAGGAUAAAAGAGGGUCUAACAACCAUGAGGAGAGGGUUUCUGCCAUCAGAUCCCUCACCACGACGGACUCAAGGUUUCUGCCAUCAGAUCCUUCACUACGGACCAUAUGCUGAUGGACUUCCCUGGGCCUGCUACCUGAGACCUGCUGCUUCCUCCCAGACUUACUCUGCGGCUUCUUCCUGGACCCACCCGGUACCUGCACCCUCUCGUUGCCCAAGACCGGCCUCGCUGCUCCUGCCCUUCAGCCUCGGACCAUCAGAACAUCGUGCAACAGGACUACUGCUGGUGGUGACUAUCCCCGCUUUAUGCAAUUCUUGCUUCUUUCUAUCUUUUCUAUCGCUCGCCUUCCCUUUCCCAUCACCCCAAUCCAUAAUAGUGUCCGUCCUCCCCUUUCUUCAUCUCCCUUAUUAACAUAUGUAAUAAACUGGUCGGACCAACAUUUGAACCGUUGUUUCUUAAUCUCACGCCGGGCAUACAUAUUUCAAAGAACCUCCUCUCCCUCCUAUAAAUUGGAGUGAGACAGUAGUACAUUAUGUCUAAGUAAAUGUGAUUAAAAUGGAGUAUAUUAAAAUGGAGCAUACAUUUUUUAUACAUUCUUGACUUUAAAUAUACACAAUGUUAGAGAAUUCAUUACGGUCUUUCACAGGUUGCCUCAAUAGUUAGUAAAACAUAUAGCAUGCUGACUGUUCAUCAUUUUAGCAUCUUUCUUGGAAUGUUAUACAAAUCUCAACAUAUAUAAAAAUAGUUUUUAUGUCAUCUUUAUCAAUAACAUUUGAAAUAUCAUAAAACUGAAAGAGCAGAUAGUUUUACAAGAUGUGUUUACAGUAAAUCCACAGUAACUUUGGUUAUUAUAUUAAUGCACAUUUGUUAUAUGUAUCUACAGCUAACACAAAUUACUGUGGAAUUAUGAUAUUAGCUGUCCUGAUAUUUUGCUUGAAAGAGAUAAGUAACUACCCUCCUUGAAUUACUUGAAUCACCCUCUUAAAACCUAAGAAAUAUUAGCACAGAAUUAACAGAUAAAUUAAUCUGUACUGUUUUGGAAGUUUUUAAGGUUGUCAAGACCAAACACUGUAAAUAUGGCCUAGAAAUUCUUUUCAAAAGCACUUCAAAAGCACUUAGAUAUGUUUUACGUAGACAAUUUGAAAUAUAUUUAUACUUAUGUGAUUGCAGUCACUUUUAUCCUAAGACUAAAAUACCAUACAUUCUUCAGUUAUAAUAGAAUAUUUCACAUGAAGGGUUCUACAGAGAUCAUCAAGUCCAACUGCCUGACAACUUCAGAGGUAACCACAAGUUAAGCGUAUUACUGAGGGCAUUAUCCAAAUGCAUCUCAAGUAAUAUUAGGCAUGGGACAUCAGUCAUCUCAUUGCAGUGAGAUAAAAGCCUGUUCCACUGUUUGAUGAUAAAUAAAUGUCCAGUAUAGUCUGAAACUCCCCUGGCACAGCACAGCUGUGUGCCACUCCUGUGCAACCUGCAAUCAGCACAGAAGAUACCAGGGAGCAGAGACCAGCACCUCCCUCUGUACUUCCUCUCCUCAAGGAGCUGCAGAGAGCAGUAAAGUCAUCUUGUAGACUCCUAUUCUCCAGGCUAGACAGUCCAAGAGUCCUCACCCUUUCCUUACUAGACAUGUCUUCCAUUCUGAUUACCUGCUUUGUUGCCAUUGUCUGGACACUUUUAGAUAUCUUAAUAAUGUUUUUAUGUUGUGGGGCAUACAUUAUUCAAGGUGAGGUUGCACCAACUCCAAAUAUAUCAGGACAAUCACCCCAAAAAGCAGUUUGCCCUUUUGGCAACCAACACUGCUGGUUCAUACUGAGCCUGCUAUCAUCAGCCCUCCUAGAUCAAUUUGUUCUGAGCUGCUCUCCAGCCAUUCAUCUCUCAGUUUGUGUCAUCUCUCAGGUACUGUGCCAGGCAUAGUACCUGACAUUUACCUUUGUUGAACUUCACGCCACUGUUUCCCCAGUGCUCCAAUCCAUCCACAUUGCUCUACAAGACCUCAGCAACACAACUGACCAUCUACUAGCCAAAUGGGUCUCCAUCACUACAACACUUUGAGUUCUACCAUUGAGCCAGUUUAUCACCCUGCAUAGUGUGAACAUACUUAUCUCACAGUUGGACAAUUUGUACAGAAAGUUGCCAUGAAGGAUCAUAUCAAAGGCUUUACUGAAUUCUAGAAAGAUGACGUACGCUGCCUUCCUUCAUCCACCAAGUGGGUAAUCUUAUAAAAAGAAAUCAAAGCAAUGAAGACAGGGCUUUCCCUUCAUGAACCCAUAUUGACUAUGCCUGACAAUGGCUUUGUCCUUCAAGUGCCUUUCAGUAACACUCACUAUAAUCUUCUCCAUAAAUUUUUAGGGUACUGAAGUUAGGUUAACAAGUCUGUUACAGAUUUGUUACUUUUGUUACUUUGUUUUCAGUAAGUUCUUUCUCUUUAUUUUUUGUUUGUUUGUUUAUUUUACUUUGUUUUGGGAAGAGGAGAGCUUGUGGUGGGGAGUGGGGUUUUGUCAUCUACGUAGUGCUAUUGAAGAUAAUACUACUUUUUUAUAUUUAAACAUUUGAUCCUCAGAAAGUUUCAUCCUAUUCUUUCAUGUUUACGAGAUUUUUCUCUCUUCAAACACUUUUUUUCUUUGUAUGAACAUUUGCAAAUGAGUGUGUACAUGCAUAUCAAUGACCAUGAGUACAUGGGGCUUAUCUGUUCCUCAAAAAUAUGACUUGGUCAAAAUUACUUUUGCAUAAAGAACAACUGAAUUUCAGCAACGUAAUCCUUUCCUACUCAUAAGUCUUAAAUUAAUGUGCAAAAUUGAAUUAAUCAGCAUAUUUAAUUACAAUUUUUUUGUUAAACUUAUUUAUCUGUGAAGGUGUUAUGUAUAAUUUUUGAAAGUUAAUGGAUACAUUAUUAAGCAAAGAGUAACAGCUCCAACAAACCAGAAUUAUUUAAGUCUCUGAGGAAAACUAAGAUUUCCCUUCUGAUUCAUCUUUAAAAUCCUGUUUUCAACAUCUUUGCAAAGUUAAUUUUAGUUUUUUAAAAGCCAGGUAACUUAAAAUAAUUUUUCUGCCCUUCAUUCCUCUUUUGUUUAUCGUGUUUUUCAGAAUGUUGUUCCAUUAGUGACUUUGAAGUCAGUGAUGUUAGAUCAAAUUAUUCAAAUUACUAGCUUUUGUUGUUGCUGGUGCUGUUUUGUGGGUUUUUUUUCUUUUGUUUUGUUUUGUUUUGAUUUUCCUCUUAUGAAUGUAAUUUACUGGUGUAGUGGUUAUUAGAACAGAACUUCACAGUGUUUGUGUUUUGUCUUAAUUAUAAGUAAUUUUAUAUCACUAAUAUUAUCAGUAAACUUGUUUGUGUAUAUUUUACUCAAUGAAAUGUUAAUGCCAAACUUUGAACAGAAACUGUACUGACUACUUCUAUCUUAAAACAGACAGUACCAGUAGCUGAUUGUUUUACUUUUGUUUCCUUUCAUCAAACAACUCUAUUCAGAAGGUGAAAAUUUCCUUUUCUUCUUUUUGAUGGAAUUUCUUUUCAUUUCUCCCCUUUCUUUUCAUAGUUUUACAAACGGUCAGUUACACAGUUUAUUACAAAAUAUGUUGAGGCACAUGCCUAGAAGGUGUGUUGAAUGGCAUACUCCAUCUACUUGUGGCAUCUAUGCAUAUUAAGUUGUUAAAAGCAUGUUUGUCAAACUUAUAUGACAGUUUUAGCAAUUGUAAAAACGCAUAUUUGCUAUGCUAUGCUAGAAGAAGAGGAAGAAAAAGAAGAAGAGAAGUGAAAAAAGAGAGGAGAGGAGAGGAGAGGAGAGGAGAGGAGAGGAGAGGAGAGGAGAG